rnacentral:tRNA from 1 species
AGAUGUCACCCCAUGGAGGAUGUCAGUCACCAUCUCGAUGUCACCUGGAGGCAGAUGUCACCCUGCGAUGGAUGUCACCCCAUGGACGAUGUCACCCCAUGGUGGAUGUCACCCCAUUGGAUGUCACCCCAUUGGAUGUCACCCCAUGGCUCAAUGGAUGUCACCCCAUUUGAUGUCACCCAUUCGGAUGUCACCCCAAUGGGUGUCACCCCAUUAGAUGUCACCCCACUGGAUGUCACCCCAUUUGAUGUCACCCCAUUCGAUGUCACCCCAUUGGACGUCACCCCACGGCUCAAUGGAUGUCACCCGAUUGGAUGUCACCCCAUUGGAUGUCACCCUAAUGGGUGUCACCCCAAUGAAUGUCACCCAUUCGGAUGUCACCCCAAUGGGUGUCACCCCAUUGGAUGUCACCUGCUGUGACCUCAGGGCACGCGUGGCCUUUGCUUUGUACCCGCCUGGGAUUAAUUACCCUUUGGAAAAGUGAUUAAAAAUGCUAAUUUACAUCUCUGCGAACCCCGAGUGGCGUUUUGGGGUCCCCAAACCCCAUUCCUAGACAGAACCGCCGAGUGGAUCCAUAACGCGCAUGCUGAUUGGCUACUUGCAGAGCACGCCUUCGCUCUCGGCCAAUCCCUGCGCGCCUUUCAGAACCGCGGGGGCGGGCCUACCCGUCUGGCCCCGCCCCUCUCGGGGGCGUGUAGCCAAUCAGGGCGGCCGUAGCAUUUUGACGUCUCAGCUCCGCCAAUGGCGUUGUGAGAAACAUAACGAGCAAGGCUUCCGUCCCUCCCUGGUGGUCUAGUGGUUAGGAUUCGGCGCUCUCACCGCCGCGGCCCGGGUUCGAUUCCCGGUCAGGGAAGAUUUGUUUUCUCUCUUUUCUCCCCAUUUUGACCCAUUUCUUCCUAUUUUUUUUUAUCCUUUGGGCCAUUUUCUUCCUCCUUUUUACCCUUUCCUCCUCUUUUUCUCCCUCUUUUCUCCCCAUUUUGACCCUUCCCCAUUUCCCCCUUUGUUUCCUCCUUUUCAGUUUUCCUCCUCCUUUCCAUUUCCCCCCCUUUUUCCUCCUCCUUUUGCAUUUUUUUCCUUUUUUUCUCCUAUUUUUUUCAGUUUUCCUCCUAUUUUUCCCCUUUUUCCCUCCUCAUUUCGCUCUUUUCCUCCUUUUUCUGUAUUCUUUUCCCCCUUUUCCUCCUAUUUUGCCCCAUUUCCCCCAUUUUUUCCUCCCCCUUUUUCCUCCCUGCCCUUCCCCAUUUUGCCCAUUUCUCCAUGUUUCCUCCUCAUUUUCACUUCAUUUCUUCUCUCUUUGAAACUUUUUCCUCUCUUAUCCCCCUUUUCACUCCUCCUCCCCCUCUUCCUCUUUUCCUUUUGACAUUUCUCUCCCAUUUCUCCCCUUCAUUUUGAUUUCCUCCCCCCUUUUUCCUCUCUCCUUUUU